GACGAACGCUGGCGGCGUGCUUAACACAUGCAAGUCGAACGGAAAGGCCCUGCUUUUGUGGGGUGCUCGAGUGGCGAACGGGUGAGUAACACGUGAGUAACCUGCCCUUGACUUUGGGAUAACUUCAGGAAACUGGGGCUAAUACCGGAUAGGAGCUCCUGCUGCAUGGUGGGGGUUGGAAAGUUUCGGCGGUUGGGGAUGGACUCGCGGCUUAUCAGCUUGUUGGUGGGGUAGUGGCUUACCAAGGCUUUGACGGGUAGCCGACCUGAGAGGGUGACCGGCCACAUUGGGACUGAGAUACGGCCCAGACUCCUACGGGAGGCAGCAGUGGGGAAUAUUGCACAAUGGGCGGAAGCCUGAUGCAGCAACGCCGCGUGCGGGAUGACGGCCUUCGGGUUGUAAACCGCUUUCGCCUGUGACGAAGCGUGAGUGGCGGUAAUGGGUAAAGAAGCACCGGCUAACUACGUG
rnacentral:rRNA from 1 species